CAUUUUUUUUUUUUUUUCCUGUUCACUCACUCACUCACUCACUCACUCACUCACUCCCUUUCUUCCUUAUAGAAACACAUGCACACACUCGGAAGCGUACACGCGAUGAUCCUCUCUUUUCGUACGUACCUGACUGCUCUACUCUACACAGAGACCACCCACGCCACAUCCCAGCGCACAGAGAGACAGAUCGAGAGAGAGAGAGAGGGAGAGAGAGAUUGAGAGAGACAGAACGAGAGAGACAGAACGAGAGAGAUAGAGAGCGCGAGAGAGAGAGAGAGAGAAAGAGAGACAGAACGAGCGAGAAAGAGAGAGAGAGACAGAACGAGAGAGAGUGAGAGAGAGACAGAACGAGAGAGAGUGAGAGAGAGACAGAACGAGAGAGACACAGAGAGAGAGAGAGAGAGACAGAGAGAGAGAGAGAGAGACGAGAGAGAGACAGAGAGAGAGAGAGACAGAGAGAGAGAGAGAGACAGAACGAGAGAGAGAGAGAGAGGGGGGGGAACGCUACACCCUCCCAGCAGCUGUCUCUGAUCCAACAUCUGUGUGCGCCGCUUCUCCUGUUCUCUCCAUCCAUCCUUUUGACUCGCUCCUCAAGCCAAUUAGAUCAUGAACAUGCUGUGUGCUUGUUGCUAGGGGGGGAAAGAGACCAAGAAGAGUGGACCAUCCGAUACUUUGUUGCUAAGCCUCCAGUGACAGAAGAAGAAAGAGUGCAAGAGAACAACGGAGAGGGACUGAAAGAGAGAGAGCAAAGGAUAAAGAGAACAAGAGAAGACAUCAGUCAGUUACAGUAUGAACCAGUCCAGCCAGGACCCGAGUGGAGUGGGGACAGCAGACCCUGAUGAGGAAUCUCCCAACAUGAUCGUCUACAGAAAGGUAGGAGGACAACACUGGUCUUUAUAACAUUAUAUUGUGGAAAGGUUGUGUGAAGGUAGGAGGACAACACUGGUCUUUAUAACAUUAUAUUGUGGAAAGGUUGUGUGAAGGUAGGAGGACAACACUGGUCUUUAUAACAUUAUGUUGUGGAAAGGUUGUGUGAAGGUAGGAGGACAACACUGGUCUUUAUAACAUUAUGUUGUGGAAAGGUUGUGUGAAGGUAGGAGGACAACACUGGUCUUUAUAACAUUAUGUUGUGGAAAGGUUGUGUGAAGGUAGGAG
rnacentral:lncRNA from 1 species